rnacentral:rRNA from 1 species
GAUGAACGCUGGCGGCGUGCCUAAUACAUGCAAGUCGAGCGAACAGACGAGGAGCUUGCUCCUCUGACGUUAGCGGCGGACGGGUGAGUAACACGUGGAUAACCUACCUAUAAGACUGGGAUAACGUCGGGAAACCGGAGCUAAUACCGGAUAAUAUAUUGAACCGCAUGGUUCAAUAGUGAAAGACGGUUUUGCUGUCACUUAUAGAUGGAUCCGCGCCGCAUUAGCUAGUUGGUAAGGUAACGGCUUACCAAGGCAACGAUGCGUAGCCGACCUGAGAGGGUGAUCGGCCACACUGGAACUGAGACACGGUCCAGACUCCUACGGGAGGCAGCAGUAGGGAAUCUUCCGCAAUGGGCGAAAGCCUGACGGAGCAACGCCGCGUGAGUGAUGAAGGUCUUCGGAUCGUAAAACUCUGUUAUUAGGGAAGAACAAAUGUGUAAGUAACUAUGCACGUCUUGACGGUACCUAAUCAGAAAGCCACGGCUAACUACGUG